GGACCAGCAGCAGCUUUUCUCUUUAGUGAGAUGAGCUCUUCUGCUCCCAGCCUCAGAAGAACAGCCACUGCCUGCUGAUGGUCAGUAUGGAUGCGGUGUCCUCGGCGUGGGGUUGACUGUUGCUGUGCCCUCCUCUACCUAGCAGACCAGUCUUACGCUAGAGCUUGUUUCUGGCCGCUGAUGGGGACUGCCUGCGUGAUCUGCUCACCAGCUCUGAAAAAAGCUUUGGAACAAGUCCUUGGGUCUGUCCCAGGCAUAAGGAUAUUUCAGUCUGAGAAAGUUACUGCUUUUGUUGACUUCUGCUGUCCCUGAGGGCUUUGCAACCCUGGAUCCUUGCCUGAGAGAAGAGCUGACCAGCAUUUCUGUUUAACAAAAAAAAAAAAAGGGGAAGAUUUUCAGAAGAUAAACAAUCCAACGGUGAAGUGUUUCCUCCUGAUCCGAGGAGAAAAGGCUUCAGGGCGAGCCUAAGGAUAACAACUUUCAGCGAACGGUGGAUCAUUCAGGGAGCAAAGUGUGGGUGCCCCACUCCAUUGCCAUUUAAUAUUAAAACGAAAAUGAGCUUUCUCAUCCAUUCGUGAUGACAUUCUCACCUCCAAAAAAAUGAGCUCUCCCUCUUCCAUUGCUCUUGGAACAUUUUCAGAAGUUGAAAGCUCCACAGUUGCCUCCACUGGCACGCAUGGCAGUAGGAAUCUCAUUUGGCUCCAGUACACUGUGACAUCCCAUGCUCUCAUUGGCCAAGUAAGAGUUUAAGACCACCUUGGAAAUCCUGUAUGUCACCUGAACUUGGGAGAACCACUUUAGAAACACCAAGAAACAUUUUCUUGGUAAUAGAAUUUAGGACUGACAUGCUCUGCAAAACUAUCCAAUGAAAAUAACUUUGCAUGUUCCCUCCCCCCCCCCCCCUCAGAAAUGUAAUAUUCUAUUUUACAAAUAUGAAUAACAAAGUUUGGAGUUAUUUUCUCUCUCUGUUUCCUUGAUGUUUAGGAGAUUAUUAUAUCACUCAGGCUGCUGAGUGGUAAUUUGGCCUGGAAUAUUUAUAAUAAAUAAAGCAAUGAAGAGUCUAAGUUGGAGCACUAAAUUCAGUCCAUAACCCAACAUAUGCAGAACUGCAUCCAGUGCACACUCUUAUAAUUUUACAAUGUUUUCAAGUAUAAAACUGUAGCUAUAAGGGCUGCUCCAAAAGUAACACCUUCUACUUUAAGAUGUCAGCCCAUGAUGUCAGAGGAGGUUGUUGGUGGUGGUGCGGCAGUAGAGGAUGAACCUUCCCACCAACAUCCUGUUACAUGUUGUUGCCUUGCAAAGAUGGCAGCAGAGGGGCAGUCUGACAAGAUGGCACCUGGCAUGAAAGUGCAUAGGAAACAAAGGUGUGCCACUGAAUUCUUUCUUGUCAAAAAAAAAAGGAUGGUAGCCACUGACAUUCAUUGACACUUGCUGAAUGUUUAUGAAGACCAAAUAAUGGAUGUUAACACAGAGGGGGGAGUGCUGUGUUUCAGCAGUGGCAACAGUGAUGUGAAAGGCAACCCACAUUCUGGAUGGCCACACACAUCUGUCACACCACAAAAUGAAGAGUGACCUGAUCAUCUCAUCCAUGUGAAUCAGCAGAUUAUGACCAGUAAACUGUGUAUCAGCUUCAAUGCACUGGAAAUGAUGGUGGCAACACUGGCAUACCAUGAAGUUUGUGGCAGAUGGGUCCCACAAAUGCUCACACAGGAACAGAAAGAACACUGUACGCAAGUAUGUCAUGACACAUUGAGCCAAUAUGAGGAUGAGGGUGACAGUUUUCUCAAUCACAUCAUUUCUGGUGAUGAGAUGCGGUGUCUCCAUUAUGCUCCAGCAUCAAAAUGGCAGCUCAUGAAGUAGCAACAUGCAAAUUCCACACUGAAGAAGAAGUUCCAGAUGCAGCCCUUAAUGGGUAAAGUCAUGUGCAGUGUCUUUUGGGAUAGGAAAAGGGGCAAUCCUUCUGGAUUUACUGGAACUGGGACAGACCAUCAACUCCGACCACUGCAGUAUGGCAUUGACUAAGCAGAAAGCUCAAACUUGCAGUCAGGCUGGAGAAGAAGACACCCUUUCUCUUGCAACAUGGUAACACCAGGCCCCAUGCCUGUUUGAAGACCAUGGAGCACAUUGCCAGUCUUGGCUGGACUGACCCACUACAUCCACCACACAGUUUGGAUCUGACUUUCAUCUGUUUGGGCCAAUGAAAGAUGGACUGCAUGGGAAAUGUAUUUCCUAGCAAUGAUGCUGUCAUACCAACUGUGAAACAGUGGGUCAUCUCCACUGGUGGAAAUUUUUAUGAGCAGAGCAUGCAGGCUCUUGGUCAUAGCGAGUGAAAAUGCGUAGCUAAUGGUGGCAACUAUGUUGAAAAACAGUGAUCUGUGGCUGAGAAUUUUCUCUAUCAAAUAGUGUUAAUGCGCUCUUUGUAUCUGUUGUAGUUUCCAUGGAAAUAAAUAAGAAACAUUACCUACUGAGUGACCAACAUAAAA